GGUUGAUACUGUGUCGGGCAACUGGCCUACAUAGUGUUUAAUCAUCCGUAAAGGAAGCCAAUUCGUCCUUCACUGGUCGAUUGGGGGAAUUUACAAUUUACUGUGAAAAAAUUAGAGUGUUUCAGGCAGGCAAUCGCUUGGAUACUCCAGCAUGGAAUAAUGGAAUAGGACUUUGGUCUAUUUAUUGGUUUGAGAUCAAAGUA
rnacentral:rRNA from 1 species